GAUGAACGCUGGCGGCGUGCCUAAUACAUGCAAGUCGAGCGAACAGACGAGGAGCUUGCUCCUCUGACGUUAGCGGCGGACGGGUGAGUAACACGUGGAUAACCUACAUAUAAGAAUGGGAUAACUUCGGGAAACCGGAGCUAAUACCGGAUAAUAUAUUGAACCGCAUGGUUCAAUAGUGAAAGACGGUUUUGCUGUCACUUAUAGAUGGAUCCGCGCCGCAUUAGCUAGUUGGUAAGGUAACGGCUUACCAAGGCAACGAUGCGUAGCCGACCUGAGAGGGUGAUCGGCCACACUGGAACUGAGACACGGUCCAGACUCCUACGGGAGGCAGCAGUAGGGAAUCUUCCGCAAUGGGCGAAAGCUUGACGGAGCAACGCCGCGUGAGUGAUGAAGGUCUUCGGAUCGUAAAACUCUGUUAUUAGGGAAGAACAAAUGUGUAAGUAACUAUGCACGUCUUGACGGUACCUAAUCAGAAAGCCACGGCUAACUACGUG
rnacentral:rRNA from 1 species